rnacentral:misc_RNA from 1 species
UUGUUGUUGAAAUGACAGACGGCUCUGCAAAGCUGGCAUCCAGUGCAGACUCGGUCAAGCGGGAGGGGAUCAGCUGCUCGCUGUGCGGGACGGACCUGGUGACGGAAGACCAGUUGCGAGCACACCGUUGCAGUGAGAGGCCUCGUGGACGGGGCCGCUACGCGUGCCGCUACUGCCACUUCGCCUGCAAUGACCGGCUCGAGCACAGCUUGCACCAGACACAGCACCUCAAGGACAGGCCGUUCAGCUGUGGUGUGUGCGGCAAGGCAUUUGCACGCAACAGUGACCGCAACAGGCAUGUCAAGAUCCACACGGGGGUCCGACCCUUCCAAUGCGACGUGUGCUCACGCAAGUUCCGACAGUCAUGGCACCUGCAGUAUCACCGCAGCACCCACACCGACUUCUGAUCACAGGUUUCUGACGUCACGAGUGGCAGCAUUUCGGGCUGACAAAGAUCUUAGCUUCAUCAUGGGAUUUGGCUGCAAGUGCCAAGUCGCCACAUUGCUCAGUGGUAUUCAGCGAUACAAUUGCGGCAACAAGUGGCCACCUCUUGUGCCUGCCUCGUACAAGUUGCUGUUCAAGAUCUGGC